AGCGAACGCUGGCGGCAGGCCUAACACAUGCCAGUCGAACGAACUCUUCGGAGUUAGUGGCGGACGGGUGAGUAACACGUGGGAACGUGCCUUUUGGUUCGGAAUAACUCAGGGAAACUUGUGCUAAUACCGAAUGUGCCCUUCGGGGGAAAGAUUUAUCGCCAUUAGAGCGGCCCGCGUCUGAUUAGCUAGUUGGUGAGGUAACGGCUCACCAAGGCGACGAUCAGUAGCUGGUCUGAGAGGAUGACCAGCCACACUGGGACUGAGACACGGCCCAGACUCCUACGGGAGGCAGCAGUGGGGAAUCUUGUGCAAUGGGCGAAAGCCUGACGCAGCCAUGCCGCGUGAAUGAUGAAGGUCUUAGGAUUGUAAAAUUCUUUCACCGGGGACGAUAAUGACGGUACCCGGAGAAGAAGCCCCGGCUAACUUCGUG
rnacentral:rRNA from 1 species